ensembl:snRNA U6 U6 spliceosomal RNA
GUGUUCGCUUCGGCAGCACGUAUACUAAAAUAGGAACCAUAGAGAGCCUCUCAGCAAGGUCCCUGCACAGCGACAACAUAAAAACUCAUAAAGUGUUCCAGCAUUUU